ensembl:snoRNA SNORD31 Small nucleolar RNA SNORD31
AUGAACAAUGAUGAUUGUCUUACCGCCCCAGUCUGAUUUUAUUCUGACUGAUUGGUAUGAUCUGAUUUUUA